AGGUUUAGGGAUAUGGAUUUGCUGAGCCUACGGAUGGAGGAAGGAGAGAAAGCAGAGGAGCAGUUCCCUGUCAGUUCUUUUGUUCCUGGGACACCUGGGAGAGAUGAACCCCAGCAGGCUGUGCUGUGCAAGUCAAGCCCCUGUCACCUUAUCUGAGGACAUGGCCUCGCUUUCCCACAUGGAGACCAGGAAUAAAAGCACUGCCCUGCUUUGUAGACCUG